AUCCUUUUUUUGUCCAUAAGCGUAAUGAUUGGGUAUCCACGCACUUGUAUGGCAUGUGCCUCCCACAAACCUUGUUACACACCAGCACGUUAUCCUUCUGAUG